rnacentral:rRNA from 1 species
CAGUGGGGAAUAUUGGACAAUGGGCGCAAGCCUGAUCCAGCCAUGCCGCGUGUGUGAAGAAGGCCUUAUGGUUGUAAAGCACUUUAAGCGAGGAGGAGGCUACUUUAGAUAAUACCUAGAGAUAGUGGACGUUACUCGCAGAAUAAGCACCGGCUAACUCUGUGCCAA